GGUCUUAUGGUCUAGUGGUAUGAUUCUCGCUUAGGGUUCACCCUGAGUUGCUCCGAACGGACAAAUUGCGAGAGGCCCCGCGUUCGAGUCGCGGUAAGACCC